GGGAACAAGCCAUGCAACGGACGUUGGGAGAAUUCAGGCUGCCUUUGGAAGGAAAAUGUGCAGCUUUAAAAUCAAGUUGUGUGGAGCCAGAGAAACAAGUGUUCGUGGGCAGAGUGAAGAAGCUUCUUUGGCUUUGCCAUGUUUCACUGGUUGGCUUUUGGCUUUGCCUGCCCCAGGCCUCCAGUGGCUCCAUUUUUAUGCCAGCCCCCAAAGUUCUUUUUGAUCCAAACUGCGGAGGGGGGGCGUGUUGCAAAGCAUUCUCCUUUUGAGGCUCCAUCUCACAAAUCCUAAUCCCAACCCAGGGUGCGUUUUGGAUCCCCAUUCUGCUUUAUUCAAACCUCUGGGUUCAAAGAUGCUGGUGGGUGGGAGGAUGGGUUCAAAUAUGGGUUCUGACUUUGGUCCUCUUGCCUGACUAAUGUGGAGUGCUGGUUAUUGUCACCUCUUACCUGAUUGUACUAAUUUGAGUUGUUUCAUAUUUUCCUGUGAUAUGCAAGAAGGAAAAGAGGUUCCUACAGGAGAAGCCCUCAGUGUGGCUGCAACAUUUGUGAGGAAUUUUGUGAAUGGAAGUCUCAGUUCAGCAACAGCCUUAAAAUGCUUAACUUGAAAUGUGCUUAUGACAGUCCUGCUGAAGUCAACCCAACAGUUUAUGCUUAGAAUUAGAUAGAUGCUAGCAAUCUGCGCUGCAGCUAGCUGUUGUCAGUGAGGCAUCAUCCAGAACCUGAGACCUCCUUGCCACUGUGGUUAUAGAAUGGUCCUUCUCAGUGGCAGCCUCCCUUGUGGUAGAAGGAAUUAAGGUGGUGGCCACCAGAAAUGACUGGGAGAGUCUCAGAGUUGCAGGUCUUGAUGGGCACCCCCUUCUCUGGGUAGAUGACAGAUUCCAUGUCUAUGGCACUAAACUUGGUUUGCCAGGCAGCGGUGCCAUCAAACAUAUCACACUACUCUGCAUGUGCCACUGCUUGAGCAGAAGCAGGUGUAUCUGCGUUUGUGACACUGCAGGCAGGCUAACUAGCAUGGUGGCAGGCUAACUGACCUUGUUGCUCAGAUGCAUUUAUUUGCAGUGCCAUGUAGAAGCAGUUCUGAGCAGCGUGCCAUGAUUUUGAGAGCACUGAUGCCAGGCACAAUAAGGCUAUCAUUUAGACAUGGCUACAGUUUCCCAUUCUUUGGUGGCAACACCAGCCAAUGACUGUUCUCAUUCUUUAUUUGACUCCUCUAGAGCUAUAACUUUAGAGCCUCAGGUACAGAGGAGCUUGAGGAUGGUGCUUGGCAUGCUCAUUCCUGAGAGAACAGCUAUUGGUGCUGUUUCACAGAGCUAUGUGGCCAUCUAGUUAGGUCUGGGACUUCUAUACAGGCAUCCUGUGGAAGGAGACUGUCAGGGAAGAAGAAUGAUAUAGGUAAGUGACAUCAUUUCACCUAUUUGUAGAGAAGGUCAUAAACAGUGCUACUUAUGUCAAAGCCACAUAUGCUAAACAAAUAUUGUUUCAGCCAUCUUAAGGCAAUCUCAUCACUAGAAUGAAGAGCUUGAAGGCCACCAGGUAGCAUAGUGAAUGGACAUGAGUCAACAGUGUGGGACAUGGUUUGAACUUGUCCACAGGGGCAUUUGCUAUUGCCCUGGAGAAAUUCAUGGAAAGUCUGAGUGACUUUUUCUUCACUGUCAUUUGUCUUCCUUUGGAUCUAGGUAUUUCCUUCUGCAUUUUUAGGCUACUUCCCUUCCUAGUUCAAAUGCACUAGCACUUGCUGUGCAGCAGUGGUGGGGCUGGAGACACUGCCCAAUUUUCUGUGUAGGGGGAAUGGAAAAUUCUCCCUGGGGAGGUGAGCGGAAGGAAGAGGAGCGGAAGGGAAGGCCUCUUAGGGAUAUCCAUAUUGCUAUUCUUAUAAAUCCCCUACUAGGGAUACUGCUGGUUUGACACACAGGCUGAGCUUCUUGCUUGUUAAUCAGGUACCAGUGAGGUUGAGGAGUUUCUCCCUUUCCUGCCAUCCCUAGCAGGAUGGAGCAAAGAGUCACUGCAUGUAUUUGAAAUGAAUGUGUCAGAGCUGAUGGCUACAUUCAUAUGCAUGCUGUUUCCGUUUGUUCAUAUCCAUGCUACAUUCAUGUCCAUGCUGCCAUGCUGUUCCCAUUUGCCUUCCUGCAGGUUAAAUUGACUGGCUCAAGUUGCAGAAGUGUUGAGCAGGUUUGCCUUGCAAUAGACAAAAGUGAACGCUGACCUUGUGCUGGGAGAUGGAUCGAUGCCUGGCGCUGACAGCGAGGCUCCAUUGCAGAACAACAGCAGUGUCCCAACAGGAUCCAUGGUCACAAAGCAAUCAAUACCUGGUAGUGGCAGAGAGCACAGUGACAAGAAGAGGAACUGCCUUGCAAAAGCAACAGCAGGGAACCCAGGGAAGGGAGCCUGUCUCAGGAAGGAGGAGUGAACUCAAGCACUGCGGCAUGUGGCUAACAGAAUGGAUUUGGCUCUCACAGCCCAGCUCAGGGGGGAGUUUUGGCCUGAGAGGACAUCUAGCUGGUGCUGGAAGAGUGUGAUUUGUCUUGGCUGAACAGGUUUGGGGGAAGAGCUCUCAUACUGCCUAUGGACCUGUGUGGAAUGGCUGGACAGAUGCCACAACCUCUAUGUCUAAUAGCAGCUAUAUCAAGAGCAUGGGCAACUAUUACCAUAACAGACGCUGCGGUGCUGGGCAUGCUUCCUGCCUGCUCUGGAGAGUAGAUUUCCUCCCUGCAAUGAAUAUUUGAUGAAGGUGGCUGCAUUGAGAUAAAUCACCUCCAGUGAAGCAGAGCCCGCCCAACCAGCUGGCACAGCAUCCCAACAUCAUUAGCAGGCUGCUAUCCCUCAGGACAGGUUUUAAUUACUUCUUGAAUGGCUGCAGUCUUUCCUGUUUCUACCUCCCACCCCUAAACAGCCUUGCCAGCUGGCCUGGCCUCUGCAUUUAUCAUGUGUUCAUUAGCCUGACCUUCACUGUUGAACAAGACACAAAUGCUUUUGGGGAAUGAGGUGGGGCAGGGGACUGAGGUAGAUUUCAAUGUGAAUUAUGAGCACAUGGGUAAGGGGAUAGAUGUGUACCCAGUCCAGUGUACUAAAUAUCUAGCUUUCUUUAAAAUAAGAUCCUCUGUUUGGGAAGGGGAUGUGGCAACAGUGGAAAAGGUGUGCUGCUAUUGCAGUGGAGGGGUGAGUUCAAGUCCUGCCCUGGUCUCAAGCCAAAGUCUGCCACAAGUUGACCUGGGUGCAAAAGGCACCUGAUCAUUCAAACAGGGGAGCUGACACUAGCCACAUUGCUUCCUUGGGUGCCAUUGGCUACAGAAACUGGUUGUUUUAACCAUACUAGCCCUGUGCGCUGUCAGGAUCAGGUACUUUGAACUUGAUAUAUGUGCGUGUGUGUGUGAGGAACCUACUGAGAUCAGGAUGCAAACAUGAAGAUGCCAGAGGCAGAAUUUUAGUUGGACAUUAGUGAGAUGUAACUCAGGGAAAGCUAGAACCUGAUGCCCCAUGUAGUAUGUAUUACUGUUAUGGAUAGGACUUCAUAGGCUUCUGUAGAUUUUUCCAUCCCAGAUUCUCAAAGCAUUUGUCUCACUACUGAAUUAAGACUCAUAAUGCUGUGGUGUGAUAAGGAUAUAUUAUUAUCAUCACCUCCCCUUUUUAUAAAUGGUGAAACUGAGGCAUGGAGGUGAUAGGUAACUUGCCCAAGGCCACCCAGCAAUAACAGUGGCAGAAACUGGGCUAAACCCCAGGAUUUCUGUCUUCUGGUUCCUGGCUUCAGUGCAUUAGAACAGUAUUUGUUGACUGGAAAAGAGUGAGAGGGGAAGCAGAGGUUUCAGGCUUGGCUCCUCAAAGGUACCUAGAUGUCAGAAUAUCUUUGAGGAUCUGGACUUGGUCUUGAAGAGCUCUUUGCUCAAGUAGCUCUCCCUCUUCAAACCUUUCCAGGGCAUCCAGUUUUAAGGGCCUCCAAAUAUGAUCUCACAUUAGUCCACAUGGCAGAGGCCUGGGUCUGCAAAGCCUAAGAACCAGUUUCAGUCUUGGCCUUUUAGUUGUCUAUCAAUUAUUAAUAUAGCAGCUAUGUCUCACUAAGGGGUUGGCGUAUCCUGGUGCUAGGUGCUGCGCAUGGGCUUAUAACAAAAGGAUGGGGCUCUAUCUUAUGGGUCUUAGAUCA